CAAGAAAUUUUGUCUGACCCAAAAAAUAAAAGAAUGCACAUGGAAGGAAAUGAGCAGUGAAAAAACCCGUGUCCUACAAAAAUCUACAUGUAAAAAGCGACUUUCUAACUCGGAUGACUCGGUGAGGAAACUAAGCAAAGCAAAAGUCAAUCGGCGACUGAUUGGAUCACGAAGCCACUUCUUUUCAUUCUUCAUCAUCGUCAUCGAAUAUCGUCUUCUAAGAACCCAACACUGAAGUCGAUUUAACUUUUGUCGUCUUCUUCACCAAUCAAUUUACGUAAACAGAAAAACAAAACUCUAAUCCCUUGACUUUCUAAUCCAAAAUCGAAAUCAAAAUUCAAAAUCAGAAUCGCAAUUAGAACCAAAACAAAGAUGAGUGUGGAAGAAAACAAGAAGGGAGUGGUGGUCGAUCAUCAGCAUCACCAUCAACAUCACCAAUCUGAGCCUCAGCCUCAGCCACCGCCUCAGUACGGUACGUUCCAAGGAGUUGCAAAUUAUCCACCUCCUCUUCCGCCUCGGCCUCCGCAGCAGCCGGCCAUCGGUUUCCCUCGGCCGGUUCCGCCUCCUGGAGCCACCGCCUCCGGCGGUCCUCCUCCCGAUCCUCACUACUAUGCUCAUGGCUAUCAAACCGUUCCUGGUUAUGCAGUUGCUGAAGGGAGACCUGUAAGAGAACGCCGUCUUCCUUGCUGUGGCCUUGGUUUUGGCUGGUUCCUGUUUAUAAUUGGAUUCUUUCUUGCUGCUAUCCCCUGGUAUAUCGGAGCAAUUAUUCUACUUUGUGCGAGGGUAGACCACCGAGAAAAGCCAGGAUACAUUGGUUGCGUAGUUGCUCCAUGUUCAUGGCUGCAAUUGUAACGGGGAUAAAGCUGAGAUGUUACAAUGGCUUAUCUUGGGAAGAAUUUCUUUCGUAAUCUGGCUUAUGAUGAUUAUGAGAUUGGCCAUUCUUGCUACCGUUGCUAUUGUCUUUGGUGUUGUAAAGGGCGUUGAUGACUAGUAAUCUUCCUGUUAUGUAUAGCUAGCGAAAGGGAUGUAUACGCAUGUCCAGAUUAUUAUGGCUAUAUAUAUAUAUGGGUGUCAAUUUCCAUAGAACCUCAUUACUUGAACUUGUGGAAAGUAAAUUAUGAUUUGUCAGUUGUCCAAAACUUCAAAAACCUAUUGUUGAAAAUGUUAAAAGUUGAUCUUGUUCAUUGAAUAAUAUGUUGAAUUUUGUGGA